UUGCCCUGGGCCUACAAAACUAUAGGACCGGGGCCCUGCUCAGUAGCAGCUCCAUGACGCGAGUGGUGGUGGUUUCGACGGGUGGUGAUCUCCGGCGAACCAUCUGGGUUUUCUCUCCGGCAUUCCUUGUUCUCCGGGUGAAGCAAAGCAGUAAGUGGUGGAGAAGCAAAACAGCGGCAGUGGUUAGAGGCUCGUAGCAGUGGUGGUGCGUGGCGACGGCGGAGUUUCACGGCAGCGUUUCUCCCCUCCUUACCGACGGCGGUGCUCGGAGGUAGCUUAGGAACGAGCUCCGGCGACGUGGUGGAUCCGGUGUACCCGCGGGCAGAAGUAGGGUGGAGGUAGCACCCGUGUUCCACCCGCGGGGUGGUGGCAUGAAGAAGACGAAGAAGAAGCUUGGUUCCCGGUAGCAUGGUUUUAUGAGUUGAGCCAAUGUUGCCGUUAGUUUUGGUUGGAUAAGCAAAUGAGGUGAUGUCUAGAUGAGCGCGAUGUCUAGUGGCC